AGACGUUCGGCUUGGAAAGUUUUAAAUUGAAGUUGGACACGCAAGCUAACACUCAAACUUAGGCUGGAAAAACUACUGGAGACUCAGACAUGUCACAUGACCUGCAGCACCAGACUGUGGCCACUAGGUGGACACGACCCCACUUUCUCUGUCAUCGAUUGUGUGGCGUCAGGACGAAGAUCCUGCCUGGUGGACGGCUGGUGGGUUGUUAUCUUGGGGGUGUUUCCUGCUGCAACAAGUCCUGCACCUCCCUACAUGUGCUCUGUGUGUGCAGAGACUUUGGACACUCAGCAGCAGCAGCAGCAG